GGCCGUGUAGUGUAGAGGUUAGCAUACUUGCUUUGGGUGAAAACUUAGCUUGCAAGUGGUCCCAGGUUCGAACCCUGGCUCGGCCC